rnacentral:rRNA from 1 species
AUUGAACGCUGGCGGCAGGCCUAACACAUGCAAGUCGAACGAGUGGCGGACGGGUGAGUAAUGUCUGGGAAACUGCCUGAUGGAGGGGGAUAACUACUGGAAACGGUCGCUAAUACCGCAUACCAUCAGAUGUGCCCAGAUGGGAUGAGCUAUUUGGUGGGGUAACGGCUCACCAAGGCGACGAUCCCUAGCUGGUCUGAGAGGAUUACCAGCCACACUGGAACUGAGACACGGUCCAGACUUCGACGGGGGGGAGCAGAGGGGAAAUUUGCACAAUGGGCGCAAGCCGGAUGCGGCCAUGCCGCGUGUAUGAAGAAGGCUUUCGGGUUGUAAAGUACUUUCAGCGGGGAGGCGUUACCCGCAGAAGAAGCACCGGCUAACUCCGUGCCAGCAGCCGCGGUAAUUC